rnacentral:rRNA from 1 species
GUGCCAGCAGCCGCGGUAAUACGUAGGGCGCGAGCGUUGUCCGGAAUUAUUGGGCGUAAAGAGCUUGUAGGCGGUUUGUUGCGUCUGCUGUGAAAGACCGGGGCUUAACCCCGGUAUUGCAGUGGGUACGGGCAGACUAGAGUGCAGUAGGGGAGACUGGAAUUCCUGGUGUAGCGGUGAAAUGCGCAGAUAUCAGGAGGAACACCGAUGGCGAAGGCAGGUCUCUGGGCUGUAACUGACGCUGAGAAGCGAAAGCAUGGGGAGCGAACAGGAUUAGAUACCCUGGUAGUCC